AGUUUGUUUCCCCUCAGCAAAGUAAGGGCAGAACACAGCACAUGACCAACCCACCGUGCUUGUCUCCACCCCAUAACAAUGGCGCUGUAAUGAUCCAUCGACAGUUCCUAUGGGCUCACCUCGUCGUUCUUAUCCUCUCCCCUCUCCGGAACAGCUCGCUGGCCGUCCGAAAGCUUGUGAUCUCCGAAUCCGCUCCUGCUUAUCGUGUUCCCACGGACAACGCACUCGAGCCGAUGAUGAAUAUAAAUAGGCAAUGGUGGGUGGAAGGAAGAGUCGAAGGGAGACUGAUGGAAAGGAAGGGGGUAAGGGGCCACGGUAAGUCGGAGCAGGGAGCGCGCAAGGACCGGAGAUCGGCCACUGGCAUGAACGGCGAGCCCAAGAAAGGCGGGCACGGCGGUAAGUUCACAUGGGCCGGCGAUCAGAGGCACAUCAAGGCGGAGUACGGUGAGAUGGAGAAGGGAGCCGUGGACUCCGGAGAUCCCAAUUUCGAAGACCCGGAACAAGAGGAAGAAGAAGCGAGCUCUCGGGGUUGAGGCUUCCCCAUCUUGCUUUCUCCGCCAUCAAUAACUCCCGAAAGAGAGAGAGAGAGAGAGAGAGUUGCUUGUAUGUAUAUAAUCGUCUCAGCAAGAACGCAUGGUUUCCAUUUCGGAUGUACAGUUUCAGAACUCCUCAUCCUGAUUAGCGGUUAAUGCAAGUAAUAUUUACUAAAUAAGAAACAAUUAAAUGGCACCAAA